GAGAAACAAGUUACAUCAAUCCAUGGAACUCCACCUACCAAUGAAGCAAGCAAUCAAUACCAAGCAGUAACUCCAGAUGCUUCCAGCUAAUUCAUCUACACACAAUUAGUGCUGAUAAAUUAAUUAAUCACUCCACCCAUCACUGUAGAGGCUUCAGCUAAGAUUCUAUUACUGAAAUAGGACACAGUAAGAGCAAUCCUACAUGCUUUCAUGUGGGCGGAAAGGAGCCUUUGCUUCAAAUUAUAGUCACUGCUUUGGUGUAAAUCGAAAGCUUCUAGAAAACACCUUCAACGGUGUAUGGAUGCCAUAGGAACUGAUGGAAAGAAAAUAAAAUUUCACAAGGGAACUUGUCAGCCCAGAUAUAAAAUCUUCUGAUAUUUCAUUUCUUUCAUGUCCAAGAGAUGAUAAAGUAGCGAGGGCAAAGUUAUAAGGACCUUCCCAAGAUUACAUCUAAACUGAAUAUGGGGAGUGGGUAAAAUAUGAAAGAAACAAUUGCAGAACACGGGAAUUUUAAUCACUCUUUAGUCGCAUGCAAUCAUACUAACAAAUACAAAAUCCGCACCGGCUUACAUAUUGAAUAAAUAACUUCUGAUUGUUUACAGAGUUUAAUAUUUUGAUGAACAUGCAUACUAUAGGUGUCGAACAGCAGCUUGUAGAUGAAUCACCAUAUAUCUGCUCCUUUUGUUGCCCCCUAGAAGAAUAGCAAUUGCAGCAAGAAUGGCCUGUUCAAGACAAGUCAAAGCUUAAUUUAAUAAUAUAUAUA
rnacentral:lncRNA from 1 species